UCGAGCGGAAACGAUGGGAGCUUGCUCCCAGGCGUCGAGCGGCGGACGGGUGAGUAACACGUGGGAAUCUGCCCAUUAGUGGGGGAUAACUCGGGGAAACUCGAGCUAAUACCGCAUAAUCCCUACGGGGGAAAGCAGGGGAUCUUCGGACCUUGCGCUGAUGGAUGAGCCCGCGUCGGAUUAGCUUGUUGGUGGGGUAAUGGCCCACCAAGGCGACGAUCCGUAACUGGUCUGAGAGGAUGGCCAGUCACACCGGGACUGAGACACGGCCCGGACUCCUACGGGAGGCAGCAGUGGGGAAUCUUGGACAAUGGGCGCAAGCCUGAUCCAGCCAUGCCGCGUGUGUGAAGAAGGCCUUCGGGUUGUAAAGCACUUUCAGUAGGGAGGAAGGCUUUGGGCUAAUACCCUGGAGUACUUGACGUUACCUACAGAAGAAGCACCGGCUAAUUUCGUGCCAGCAGCCGCGGUAAUACGAAAGGUGCGAGCGUUAAUCGGAAUUACUGGGCGUAAAGCGCGCGUAGGCGGUGUGUUAAGUCGGAUGUGAAAGCCCAGGGCUCAACCUUGGAAUUGCAUCCGAUACUGGCACGCUAGAGUGCAGUAGAGGGAGGUGGAAUUUCCGGUGUAGCGGUGAAAUGCGUAGAGAUCGGAAGGAACACCAGUGGCGAAGGCGGCCUCCUGGACUGACACUGACGCUGAGGUGCGAAAGCGUGGGGAGCAAACAGGAUUAGAUACCUGGUAGUCCACGCCGUAAACGAUGUCUACUAGCCGUUGGGGUCCUUAGUGACUUUGGUGGCGCAGCU
rnacentral:rRNA from 1 species